CUACUCUGAUUCUGUGAGUUUGACUAUUUUAGAUACUUCCUAUACGUGAAAUCAUAUGGUAUUUGUCCUGUGACUGGCUUAUUUCACUCAGCAUAGUGUCCUCAAGUUUCAUCCACGUUGUUGCACACUGCAGGAUUUCCUUCUUUUGUAAGGCUGAGUAUAAUAUCCUAUUGUAUGUAUAUACCGCAUUUUCUUUAUUCAUUCAGCCAUCAGGGGCUUUUGGGUUGUUCCCACAUCUUGGCGAUGGAGAACGGUGCUGCAGUGGAUCUCUUUCUGUUGACAGGCUUUACCAAGUGCUUAUUCACUAUAUGCCAGACCUGCUUUAAAUGCGUUAUGGAUAUUAGUGCAGGUAAAACGCAGAACAGCCCUACGAGCUAGAUGCUAUCUUUAUCCUCAUUUACAGUAUGUUGUAAACUGGAGUUUGAACCCAGGCAGUCCGGCUCUACAAGCAGCGAUGUUGAUCACUAUAAUAUUGAUAGUAUUAAAAUCGUAAUAAGGAUAAUGAUUGAGGGCAAACUAUGCGUCAAGCAAGGUCAAGAUAAGACUUGUAAAUCCAAAUGACCUUGGGGACAGGAUCCAGCAGGGUUGCCCAAGAGAUCAGUUAAUUCCAGAAGUAACACUCCUCCUUAUAAUUUUGGGGAGGGGUGGAGAACGGGGGUUGCAGGGGAAAACUAUCUUCUGCAGCUAUGAUAUGCAGUUCCACGCAUCUCUAUUCAUGCAGUUCUAAAGCUAGACCUUUUCCCAAUGAAUCUGAUACAAGUCUACGUGCAGGUGUCCCAUCCCCCACCAGCACUGUUUUCCUCUGGUUGUGUUUUGUGCUUCAAAUGGUCCACUCAAGGGUCAAGGGAACAGCCCAGAGCUAGGCGCUUAUGUUUCAAGGUCUUUUAAAAGCUUCUCAUUUGAUUCCCCUCUUCCUUGCCUAUUUGAUGUCAACGGAAACGAGGGCUCCUGGCCGUGCAGUUAGGCGGUGGAACUGGGAAGAUGAACCACUAGCCCCCAAAUCAGCCUGGGCUCAUCUGUGCUCUUUCCACGUUAAGCCUCCCAACAGGGCCGUCUGCAGUUACACCAACACCCUACGCCCUCACUGCGCCUGAAAAACAACCGUCCAA
rnacentral:lncRNA from 1 species